rnacentral:rRNA from 1 species
CAAUAGCGUAUAUUAAAGUUGUUGCGGUUAAAAAGCUCGUAGUUGGAUUUCUGCCGAGGACGACCGGUCCGCCCUCCGGGUGAGUAUCUGGCUCGGCCUGGGCAUCUUCUUGGAGAACGUAGCUGCACUUGGCUGUGUGGUGCGGUAUUCAGGACUUUUACUUUGAGGAAAUUAGAGUGUUUCAAGCAGGCACACGCCUUGAAUACAUUAGCAUGGAAUAAUAAGAUAGGACCUCGGUUCUAUUUUGUUGGUUUCUAGAUCUGAGGUAAUGAUUAAUAGGGAUAGUUGGGGGCAUUCGUAUUUAACUGUCAGAGGUGAAAUUCUUGGAUCUGUUAAAGACGGACUACUGCGAAAGCAUUUGCCAAGGAUGUUUUCAUUGA